AGGACGAACGCUGGCGGCGUGCCUAACACAUGCAAGUCGAACGCGCUCCAUUCGGUAGCAAUACUGAUGAAGAGUGAGUGGCGAACGGGUGAGUAACACAUGAGCAACCUGCCCCGAAGACUGGGACAACACCGGGAAACCGGUGCUAAUACCGGAUAUCCCUAUCGGACCGCAUGAUCUGAUAAGGAAAUGGAUUCCGCUUCGGGAGGGGCUCGUGGCCUAUCAGCUAGUUGGUGAGGUAACGGCUCACCAAGGCAUCGACGGGUAGCUGGUCUGAGAGGACGAUCAGCCACACUGGGACUGAGACACGGCCCAGACUCCUACGGGAGGCAGCAGUGGGGAAUCUUGCGCAAUGGGCGAAAGCCUGACGCAGCAACGCCGCGUGGAGGACGAAGGCUUUCUGAGUUGUAAACUCCUUUCAGCAGGGACGAUAGUGACGGUACCUGCAGAAGAGCACCGGCAACUACGUGCCAGCA
rnacentral:rRNA from 1 species